GCUGGGCGUGGUGGCGUGCGCCUGUAAUCCCAGCCACUCGGGAGGCUGAGGCAGGAGAAUUGCUUGAAUCUGGGAGGCAGAGGUUGCAGUGAGCCAAGACGGCACACUGCACUCCAGCCUGGGUGACAGAGCAAGACUCUGUCUCAA
rnacentral:SRP_RNA from 1 species